CGCCUCCCCUCCCGCACGCCUCCUCUCCUCCCGCCCACAUCACCGCCGCCGCCGCCGCCGCCCGCCUCCCCGCGCCGUCGGCGGCCAGACCCACCGCAGCAAAGCCCCCUCCCUCCCCAACGACGAUGAGCAAAAGCGGAGGGAGGACGAGGAGCACGACGGCGGCGGCAGCGGGGAGGAGCAGCAGCAGGGCAAGGUGGCGUGCUGCGCCGUCCCGCGUCUCCUCUCCUCCGACCACGCCGCGGUGCUGCGCGACGGCGAGUGGGCGCCUGCCCUCCCCGUCCGCGAGCUCGUCCCCGGGCACGGCGGCGGCUCCCGAGCCCUCCUGCUCCGACCCUGCAGAGUGCUCGACCCGUAGCCUCUGCUCGCCCUCGCGCUAUCGGUCUUGCGCCCUAGGCAGUCAGCCUCUACCCUGCUUGUGUCAAGGAAGGAAGGGGUCCCAUCCAUGGAGAAGCUGCGGGUGUAGAUGGUACAGCGGCUAGAGAAGAGGAGGUGGAGCAGCAGCACCAGGUCAACAUCCAGCACCAAACACCUUUGAAUCUAAAUAUAUAUCAACAAAUAUACAGCGGACAGAGCAGUCCAGUCACAUCUUCUACAGACCAACGUGUAGAACAAGAUGAACAUGUGCCUUACAUGAGCUCUUUGGAUGAUUAUAUCUUUGACAGUGAGGGAAAUUGCUCUGCGGACAACCUGGUACACAAUGAUUACUAAUCCAGUGUUAGCUCCUCAUUAUCAUGGCUAUCUGAAUGAUCGUUUGGUACUUUCAGUUCACUGUCUUAGUAUAUUGCCUUCUGCAAUGCGGCUAUCUGAAUGAUUGUUAGGCACUUUCAGUCCCCCGUCUUAGUAAGUUAGUAUACUGCCUUCUGCGAUGCAAUCAAUGCUCUGCUAUGCAGCACCUUGUCCUACCAGACUUAAUUAUGUACAUUAUAUGAUAUAUGUACUGAUACUCUACUAUGCAAUCCGUCGGUCCUAGAAAAUUAAAUUAUGUAACUUAUAUGGUGUAUACUGAUGCUCUACUUUGCAGUGCCUUAUCCUAGCAGACUUAAUUAUGUAAAUUAUACUCCCUCUGUAAACAGAUAUAAGAGCGUUUAGGUCACUACUGUAGUGAUCUAAACGCUCUUAUAAAAGUUUACAGAGAGAGUAUGUGUGUUUUCUAUCCUGAUUAGGAUGAACUACGCAUGUGCAUUCAGCUUACUAACAUAGGUAUUCUGCUUGUGAUAGUUCUUGUUCAAUUAGUUCGCCCCUAUGAAUGUGUGUGAGGCUCCUGGUCACCUAAAUUCUUUUACAGGACAGUGACAUGCCCCGUUAAAACGGGUAAAUUAUUUGUUAUGCUCAAAAUGAUUCUACAAAACAAGUACUAAUAAUCAUAUUAGCCUUGCAUUGCAGAUUAUUUCCUUUUUGUGGUUGGCAUGAAUGACUUUUGUACUCAAUGGUUUAAGCAGUUGCUCUAGGAUGCCGGUCAUCCUCCAGCCUCCUCAGCCGCUUGGCAUUCUUGGCUGUUGGAUCUGGUUGCUUGAUGCGAUCUGAGCCGUCGGAUCGAGCCCUGGAAUGACCUUGUCCGUCGGAUAAAAAAUAGUUACUGUUGCAAUGAACAGUUUCGCCUCGACCGUGCCACCACGCGUAAAUAGCCUGCCCCACCGCGUUUGAAUCACGUGCCACAUCGGUCGGAAGCCAUUCUUGCUAGGGCGAUGAUGAUUAGCCGUGGGUAUCAAGUUGGGUCCUCCCUCUUGUCUCUAGAAUCCUU